rnacentral:rRNA from 1 species
UACGGGGGGAGCAAGCGUUGUUCGGAUUUACUGGGCGUAAAGGGCGCGUAGGCGGUCAGCACAAGUCAGUUGUGAAAUCUCCGGGCUUAACUCGGAAAGGUCAACUGAUACUGUGCGACUAGAGUGCAGAAGGGGCAACUGGAAUUCUCGGUGUAGCGGUGAAAUGCGUAGAUAAUCGAGAGGAACACCUGCGGCGAAGGCGGGAUUGGCUGGGCUGACACUGACGCUGAUGCGCGAAAGCCAGGGGAGCGAACGGG